CGGGGGCCCCCAAAGCCACCUCGGCGUUUGGGUUUGGUCACGCGCCGCUUUGGGGCACUCACCCGACAUCUCCAGCGCAGGGAUCCUCCCUCGCUCCCCGUAUCAGCAGCGCUGUGCUCCUCGCUGGGGCCUUCUGGUGUUUCAGUGCAUCAACGCAGCAUUGUUCAUGCUGAAAACAAAAAUUUUCAUGAGUAAAUGAGAGCAAAAUUGGCACAAGACCCUCACGGCUCUCCCCAGUGCCACAGUUCCCAGCCCCAGCACCUGCCCUGCAAUCCCCAACCUAGCAAACACUGGCCAGGACCCGGCUCUCUGCCGCGGAGGAGCCAGGGACCACAGCAGCUCCCCAAAAUGACCAGCCCGGCAGUGGCGGAGGGCUCUGGGGCACCCCGGAAGGCAAACCAUGGGCUCGAGGGCGCCCCGAAAGGCUCAGGGGGGCAUUUCUCCAUCUCCUACCCUCACCCUAGACCUCAGUCACGCACCGAGUCACGGCCCGUGGCUGGCUGCAUUGCCAGCGCACGGCUCCGCUGGGAAAGGGCGAUUCCAGGGCAGCAGCUUCUCCCAGCCGCCCUUCCCAGCUCCUAACKGCAGGGAAACCAAAGCGCUAGGAAAAACCUACCUGACUUCAGCUGCUGAGAACCAGCGAAGGGAAAGAGGGGACGAGCUGAGGUGGUUUGGGGGAGCUGCCCGCUCUGGUGCUACACACCAACGCUCGUGGCCACACGCACAGGCCCUGCAGGGAACCGGGCCUGGCGGGGGGGCAGCCCUGGCACGGGGAAUUGUUGGGGGGCAGCACAAGGGUAAGAAGCAGCAGGGCUUUGUUUUUCCCAUUUUUCAUUCCUUGCUUCACCCACCCAGGGCUGGCACCCGUCCAAGAGCAGAGGGUCACCCAAAGCCACUUCCCCAACAGUCUCACCUCACACUACGUGCUCCGGGGCGCACCUCUCUCGUCUCCCCCACCUCCUUGCCGGGCAUUCGACGAAGACUCCUAUGCAAAAGGACGCUCACGCCAACGAGGUGCCCUGGAAGCACAAACGGAGGAAGCUCUGCACACCUGCAUCGCUGCGACAGCUCCCACAAGCAGCACAGGCCGACCUGCUCCCCCAGGGGCUACUUACGGACUCAGCCUGGGCUCCCUCGACCUUGGAGUUCGGCUUUCCGCGUGGCCCUCGGCCCUUUCAGACUCCUNGUCUUGUCCAACGCUCCCUUUCCAGAGAGACACGGUGCUCCCGGGGGUCUUCUUGUCCCACUGUUCCCUUAGGUCCACAUUCYGUAAAAGUGGUACAGCAGUGACAUCUYRGUCACCUGAAAGAGUCAUUUUGGAGGCAAAAAYGUCACACCAGGGCAGCACACUCCUGGACCCUGACACUUCAGCUSUGYCRACCCGCCUUUCCCAAGCCUCUUUCCCCUCCCCUCCACGUCAGCGGAGAGGACUGGAGGAAGACGGGCUCGAGCGCGCAGGCGCACGCUGGCAGCACCUCCUCCAAGGACCAGAGAGGGAAGCUCUCCCCACCGCCACCUCCACAACGGCUCCCACAAGGAGGACGGGCCACCUGCUCCCGCCUGGGCUGCAGGGACUGAGYCCGCGCUCCUGCUGGCCCUCGCACAGCCCCGUGGGCUCCCUCCCUCCCCUUCCAGGGCGUCACCUUGCUCCCACAGGUCUGCAGGUCCCGCUGCUYGCUCGGCCCCGGAYGCUGGAAAGCGGGCGUAGCUGUCGCGUUACCUCUCAGGCCUSRCGGCUCYGCAGAGCUGCCGUCUCCCCRCACGUUUCUGUGCGCGAGCUGCACAGCUCUGGMRGCAGCGUGUCGCUCUGCACUGCRCAGCUCUUGCUCAUCUGCCACCUGGAAACCAGACGGACGCGGCAAUGAGACCUCCCGGGGCAGCASACCAAAGCCUGCUCUGCCCUUSCCACCCAGCCGGGAGACCAAAGUGCCUGGAGAACACGCUCAGACCCUCCCGGCACUGAUACGGGCAACGUCRCCGAGGGAAACCACUCCCUCGCACCCGUCCAAGAGCACAGCCUGACCCAAAGCCACUUCCCCAAGAGUCUCACCUCACGCUACGUGCUCCAGGACGCACCUCUCCUGACUCCCCCACCUCAGCGCUGGGCAUUUGACAACAACUCCUCUGCAAAAGGGCACUCACGCCAACGAGAUGCCCUGGAAGCACAAAAGGAGGAAGCUCUGCACACCUGCAUCGCUGC
ensembl:lncRNA